CCCGCACAAGCGGUGGAGCAUGUGGUUUAAUUCGAUGCAACGCGAAGAACCUUACCUGGUCUUGACAUCCACAGAACUUUCCAGAGAUGGAUUGGUGCCUUCGGGAACUGUGAGACAGGUGCUGCAUGGCUGUCGUCAGCUCGUGUUGUGAAAUGUUGGGUUAAGUCCCGCAACGAGCGCAACCCUUAUCCUUUGUUGCCAGCGGUCCGGCCGGGAACUCAAAGGAGACUGCCAGUGAUAAACUGGAGGAAGGUGGGAUGACGUCAAGUCAUCAUGGCCCUUACGGCCAGGGCUACACACGUGCUACAAUGGCGCAUACAAAGAGAAGCGACCUCGCGAGAGCAAGCGGACCUCAUAAAGUGCGUCGUAGUCCGGAUUGGAGUCUGCAACUCGACUCCAUGAAGUCGGAAUCGCUAGUAAUCGUGGAUCAGAAUGCCACGGUGAAUACGUUCCCGGGCCUU
rnacentral:rRNA from 1 species